rnacentral:lncRNA from 1 species
CAAGGAAACUUUUCUGAUACAGAUGUCCAAGCUGCCGAGAACAAGCUGAAAGUUGGAUACCUAAUGUCAGUAGAGUCUUCUGAGGGUUUCCUGGAUGAAGGUGGGGCCCAGGCUUUGGUGCUGGUUCUUACAUGCCAUCCUCCACAGCCUUUCAGCAGAUUGACUUGGUGGCUAAUGCUGAUGUCAUAAAUGCUGUGAAGAAGUUUGCUUCUGGCCAGAAGUCAAUGGCAGUAAGUGGACAUUUGGGGCAUGUAUCUUUUGUUGAUG